rnacentral:rRNA from 1 species
AGAGUUUGAUCCUGGCUCAGGAUGAACGCUGGCGGCGUGCCUAACACAUGCAAGUCGAACGGAGCCUUAUCAGCAGAAGCAUCCAGCUUGCCGGAAGCGGAAGAAGAAAAGGCUUAGUGGCGGACGGGUGAGUAACGCGUGGGUAACCUGGCCCAUACAGGGGGAUAACACUUAGAAAUAGGUGCUAAUACCGCAUAACAACAGAAUCUGCAUGGAUUUUGUUUGAAAACUGAGGUGGUAUGGGAUGGACCCGCGUCUGAUUAGCUGGUUGGCGGGGUAAUGGCCCACCAAGGCGACGAUCAGUAGCCGGCCUGAGAGGGUGGACGGCCACAUUGGGACUGAGACACGGCCCAAACUCCUACGGGAGGCAGCAGUGGGGAAUAUUGCACAAUGGGGGAGACCUUGAUGCAGCGACGCCGCGUGAGUGAAGAAGUAAUUCGUUAUGUAAAGCUCUAUCAGCAGGGAAGAAAAUGACGGUACCUGAUUAAGAAGCCCCGGCUAACUACGUGCCAGCAGCCGCGGUAAUACGUAGGGGGCAAGCGUUAUCCGGAUUUACUGGGUGUAAAGGGAGCGUAGACGGCAGUGCAAGUCUGGAGUGAAAGGCGGGGGCUCAACCCCCGGACUGCUCUGGAAACUGUACAGCUGGAGUGCAGGAGAGGUAAGUGGAAUUCCUAGUGUAGCGGUGAAAUGCGUAGAUAUUAGGAGGAACACCAGUGGC